AGAAGUGCUGUCAGCAUUGCUGCAGAGAUUGAAGAGGUGGGGGGUCAGCCUGAGCUCAGAGCAUAUGCCAAACUCUACAUCAAAUUGGUGUGCAUGGCUGUCACCCCAGGAGGAAGCCUCUUCUGAAGACGUGAAACACCAUGGUCCUACACCAACCCCUACGCCGACGGCAACAAGCAGAUCUUCGUCUACUUUGACCCCGUGAACCUUAGGAAGAUGGUGCUGCCCAGGUGUCCUGGGGCUGAAGAGUCUGAGAGGAUGAGGAUGGCCCGAUUCUCGAGCCUCAAGGUCCUGGCCAGGUGGGAGAACUACAAGUCUGUCAAGGCCGGCUUCAAGUUGACCCAGAAGGUCCUGGGUGUUCUUUGAUCGAGAAGCAGAGCGUCGGAAUCAUCAUGGCGGUCAACCCCAACACGGUCGCACGGGCAAGAAGGAACACAGGGACACACAGGGCUGACACCCUGGAGAUGUUCCAGAGAACAAGGGAGACCUGGAGACGGGCCGAGCGGUCCUCAAGCGGCCAUCUCUCCCCAUGGCCCACAUGGCGUCCUUCGGAAUGUCGCUGUGGGACUUCCUGAUGUGCAGGAAGCACAGGAGCACACUGCUAGAGUUCCUGGUUGUCCCUCUUCAACUGUUUUAGUGUGAACUUCUCCAAGGAUGUGACUUCAGAAGCGAGGAAGAACAAGGCCUUGGAGUGGCUGGCCGGCAUGAAAAGGAGCAGAAUCGAGGAGGGCAGAAAGGAGACGGCAAGGAACAGGGACUUGUACAAGUCGAGGUGACAGGCAUAGAAAAAGGCUAUGUAAUUGUUGAAAGACGAGGCUCACAUCCUGGUAACACCACAUCGAUUAUUUGCACUGUCUGAAUUAUAGGAAUAUCUCAUAUGCAUUUUAUAUUUAUGUUUAUUUAGAUUUUAUACUUGCACGUCACUUUUGAGAUUUUAACUCAUCCUGCACUGUAAAGGGAUGCUCCACAAUUUCAUUGUAUAAC